rnacentral:rRNA from 1 species
UACGUAGGUGACAAGCGUUGUCCGGAUUUACUGGGCGUAAAGAGCGCGCAGGCGGUCGAUCAAGUCGAGUGUGAAAGCCCCCGGCUCAACUGGGGAGGGUCAUUCGAAACUGGUCGACUCGAAGGCAGGAGAGGGUAGUGGAAUUCCCGGUGUAGUGGUGAAAUGCGUAGAUAUCGGGAGGAACACCAGUGGCGAAGGCGGCAUCCUGGACCAACACUGACACUGAGGAGCGAAAGCCAGGGGAGCAAACGGG